rnacentral:sRNA from 1 species
GUGCUAAGUCUCAGCCCUGUGGCCACCUCAAGCUACGGAGGAGUCAGGGAAACUUCGUCUUUGGCUGGGUGGCCGCGUGCCCAGUCAAACUCCGGAGUAAAGGACAAAGGGGAGAAUGAUAUUGGGCAGUGGCCAGCAGGGUUGGCACAAAGCUCCUGCAGGAUUCGAAUACUGUUUAACAGAGGAUUUUCUACUGUGGGCCGACGACCUGUCACCUUGAUUGGCUUCAGCCUGGGAGCCAGAGUCAUCUACUUCUGUCUGCAGGAGAUGGCUCAGGAGAAAGAUUGCCAAGGAAUCAUCGAGGACGUCAUCCUGCUGGGUGCGCCUGUGGAGGGAGAAGCCAAGCAUUGGGAGCCUUUCCGGAAGGUGGUGUCCGGGAGGAUCAUCAACGGCUACUGCAGGGGAGACUGGCUGCUGAGUUUCGUGUACCGCACAUCCUCGGUGCAGCUCCGCGUCGCCGGCCUACAGCCCGUGCUGCUGCAGGACAGGAGGGUGGAGAACGUGGACCUGACCUCUGUGGUCAGCGGCCACCUGGACUAUGCCAAGCAGAUGGAUGCCAUCCUGAAGGCCGUGGGCAUCCGCACCAAGCCAGGCUGGGACGAGAAGGGGCUCUUGCUGGCCCCAGGCUGCCUGCCCUCCGAGGAGCCUCGCCAGGCAGCAGCCGCUGCCUCAUCAGGCGAGACCCCCCACCAGGUUGGGCAAACCCAGGGUCCCACAUCCGGAGACACCUCCAAAUUGGCCAUGUCCACAGACCCCAGCCAAGCCCAGGUGCCGGUAGGGCUGGACCAGUCUGAAGGGGCCUCCCUUCCUGCUGCUGCCAGCCCUGAAAGGCCCCCCAUCUGCAGCCAUGGCAUGGACCCCAACCCACUGGGCUGCCCCGAUUGUGCCUGCAAGACCCAGGGCCCCAGCACGGGGCUGGACUGACCACAGCAGGGGACCUGAGCCGUCUUCCCCAGUCUCCAUAUGCAGCUCUCUCUUAUACCCUCGGGUUCCUCCCAGGAGCUCUGGAGGUGCAGGAUUUCCACAGGCCUCUUUCCUAAAUGGAAGGAAUUGGAACUGAAAGGGAAAGGAAAUGGAAGGAAGGGGAAUUUGGAGGAGAGAACACGCCCACCCUUGGGAAGCUGCCUGUCCCCAGAGGAGCCCCACCAGGGAGCAGCUGCCCCCUCAUCAGAGACCUGCAGAGUCAACCAAGCACAGGUUAGAGUCCCAGGACUGGAAACCAACUGUGGGCUUUCUGUACUUCUCAUAGCUUUGGAGUCUGGCUUCCAUCAGGAGGUCCCGAGGGCUCUCUGGGGCCUGAGGCUCCCACACCAGCUCUCCCCUGGCCUCAAUAAAACCAGGUGCAUGCCUGUUCUUCCGUCCACACUCCAGGGCUGCCCACCAGCUGACAGGCACCAUCAACUGGCAGCAACAGAGCAGGCGCAGGUACAAAGAAGGCAGCUCACUCCUGCUCUUAGGAGAUCCAAUCAGAUCUGCCCUCUACAGCCAUGUAGGCUGUGCACUGCACAACUCCAGGGACAUGAGUCACAUAGACACAAUGUGAGUGUGCUCCCCCAUCAUGCAACAUCUAGACACAACUAACAGAGCAUGGUGAAUACAUGCUGAAUUGCAUUCAGUAUGGCUGUGAACUAGGCCUGGGGACAAGAAUGAAUUUUACAUGGAAAGAAUUUCCUGUAGCAGGAACAGAGGGGAUAACAACAGCAAUAAAUAAGAAUAAGAAGAAG